rnacentral:rRNA from 1 species
GACGAACGCUGGCGGCGUGCUUAACACAUGCAAGUCGAACGGAAAGGCCCUGCUUUUGUGGGGUGCUCGAGUGGCGAACGGGUGAGUAACACGUGAGUAACCUGCCCUUGACUUUGGGAUAACUUCAGGAAACUGGGGCCAAUACCGGAUAGGAGCUCCUGCUGCAUGGUGGGGGUGGGAAAGUUUCGGCGGUUGGGGAUGGACUCGCGGCUUAUCAGCUUGUUGGUGGGGUAGUGGCUUACCAAGGCUUUGACGGGUAGCCGGCCUGAGAGGGUGACCGGCCACAUUGGGACUGAGAUACGGCCCAGACUCCUACGGGAGGCAGCAGUGGGGAAUAUUGCACAAUGGGCGGAAGCCUGAUGCAGCAACGCCGCGUGCGGGAUGACGGCCUUCGGGUUGUAAACCGCUUUCGCCUGUGACGAAGCGUGAGUGACGGUAAUGGGUAAAGAAGCACCGGCUAACUACGUG